rnacentral:rRNA from 1 species
UUCCGGUUGAUCCUGCCGGACCCGACUGCUAUCAGAGUGGGACUAAGCCAUGCGAGUCGACGUAGCAAUGCGUGGCGAACGGCUCAGUAACACGUAGUCAACAUGCCCAGGGGACGUGGAUAACCUCGGGAAACUGAGAAUAAACCACGAUAGGUCACGAUUUCUGGAAUGGAUGAUGGCCUAAAUCUACAUGGCCCCUGGAUUGGACUGCGGCCGAUCAGGCUGUUGGUGAGGUAAUGGCCCACCAAACCUAUAACCGGUACGGGCUCUGAGAGGAGAAGCCCGGAGAUGGGCACUGAGACAAGGGCCCAGGCCCUAUGGGGCGCAGCAGGCGCGAAACCUCUGCAAUAGGCGAAAGCCUGACAGGGUUACUCUGAGUGAUUUCCGCUAAGGGGAUCUUUUGGCACCUCUAAAAAUGGUGCAGAAUAAGGGGUGGGCAAGUCUGGUGUCAGCCGCCGCGGUAAUACCAGCACCCCGAGUGGUCGGGACGAUUAUUGGGCCUAAGCAUCCGUAGCCGGUUCUGCAAGUCUUCCGUUAAAUCCAGCCGCUCAACGGAUGGGCCGCGGAGGAUACUACAGGACUAGGAGGCGGGAGAGGCAAGCGGUACUCAGUGGGUAGGGGUAAAAUCCUUUGAUCCAUUGAAGACCACCAGUGGCGAAGGCGGCUUGCCAGAACGCGCUCGACGGUGAGGGAUGAAAGCUGGGGGAGCAAACCGGAUUAGAUACCCGGGUAGUCCCAG